CCUACGGGAGGCAGCAGUGUGGAAUAUUGGACAAUGGGGGGAACCCUGAUCCAGCCAUGCCGCGUGUGUGAAGAAGGCCCUCGGGUUGUAAAGCACUUUCAGUGAGGAAGAACGCCUGGUGGUUAAUACCCAUCAGGAAAGACAUCACUCACAGAAGAAGCACCGGCUAACUCCGUGCCAGCAGCCGCGGUAAUACGGAGGGUGCGAGCGUUAAUCGGAAUUACUGGGCGUAAAGCGCGCGUAGGUGGCUUGAUAAGCCGGUUGUGAAAGCCCCGGGCUCAACCUGGGAACGGCAUCCGGAACUGUCAAGCUAGAGUGCAGGAGAGGAAGGUAGAAUUCCCGGUGUAGCGGUGAAAUGCGUAGAGAUCGGGAGGAAUACCAGUGGCGAAGGCGGCCUUCUGGACUGACACUGACACUGAGGUGCGAAAGCGUGGGUAGCAAACAGGAUUAGAUACCCUAGUAGUC
rnacentral:rRNA from 1 species